rnacentral:rRNA from 1 species
GGAGGAUCCAAGCGUUAUCCGAAAUCAUUGGGUUUAAAGGGUCCGUAGGCGGUUUGGUAAGUCAGUGGUGAAAGCCCAUCGCUCAACGGUGGAACGGCCAUUGGUACUGCCAGACUUGAAUUAUUGGGAAGUAACUAGAAUAUGUAGUGUAGCGGUGAAAUGCUUAGAGAUUACAUGGAAUACCAAUUGCGAAGGCAGGUUACUACCAAUUGAUUGACGCUGAUGGACGAAAGCGUGGGGAGCGAACAGGAUUAGAUACCCUGGUAGUCCACGCCGUAAACGAUGGAUACUAGCUGUUGGGAGCAAUUUCAGUGGCUAAGCGAAAGUGAUAAGUAUCCCACCUGGGGAGUACGGGCGCAAGCCUG